UACAGAGGUCCCAAGCGUUGUUCGGAUUCACUGGGCGUAAAGGGUGCGUAGGCGGUCGGGUAAGUCUGAUGUGAAAUCUCACAGCUUAACUGUGAAACUGCAUUGGAUACUAUUCGGCUUGAGAGUUGGAGGGGGGACUGGAAUUCUUGGUGUAGCAGUGAAAUGCGUAGAUAUCAAGAGGAACACCAGUGGCGAAGGCGAGUCCCUGGACAACUUCUGACGCUGAGACGCGAAAGCGUGGGGAGCGAACAGG
rnacentral:rRNA from 1 species